rnacentral:rRNA from 1 species
GCUAAACGCGAAGAACCUUACCAAGGCUUGACAUAUACGAGAACGGGCCAGAAAUGGUCAACUCUUUGGACACUCGUAAACAGGUGGUGCAUGGUUGUCGUCAGCUCGUGUCGUGAGAUGUUCGGUUAAGUCCGGCAACGAGCGCAACCCUCGUCCUAUGUUGCCAGCACGUAAUGGUGGGAACUCAUGGGAUACUGCCGUGGUCAACACGGAGGAAGGUGGGGAUGACGUCAAAUCAUCAUGCCCCUUAUGUCUUGGGCUUCACGCAUGCUACAAUGGCCGGUACAAAGGGCUGCGAGACCGCAAGGUUUAGCGAAUACCCAAAAAGCCGGUCUCAGUUCGGAUUGGGGUCUGCAACUCGACCCCAUGAAGUCGGAGUUGCUAGUAAUCGUAGAUCAGCAACGCUACGGUGAAUACGUUCCCGGGUCUUGUACACACCG